UACGAAGGGGGCUAGCGUUUCUCGGAAUCACUGGGCGUAAAGCGCACGUAGGCGGAUUGUUAAGUCAGGGGUGAAAUCCUGGAGCUCAACUCCAGAACUGCCUUUGAUACUGGCGAUCUCGAGUCCGGGAGAGGUGAGUGGAACUGCGAGUGUAGAGGUGAAAUUCGUAGAUAUUCGCAAGAACACCAGUGGCGAAGGCGGCUCACUGGCCCGGUACUGACGCUGAGGUGCGAAAGCGUGGGGAGCGAACAGG
rnacentral:rRNA from 1 species